UGAGGAAUAUUGGUCAAUGGGCGAGAGCCUGAACCAGCCAAGUCGCGUGAAGGAAGAAGGUUCUAUGGAUUGUAAACUUCUUUUGUAAGGGAAUAAAAAGUGGUACGUGUACCAUAUUGUAUGUACUUUACGAAUAAGGAUCGGCUAACUCCGUGCCAGCAGCCGCGGUAAUACGGAGGAUCCAAGCGCUAUUCGGAUUUAUUGGGUUUAAAGGGUGCGUAGGCGGAUCUUUAAGUCAGUGGUGAAAGUUUGCGGCUCAACCGUAAAAUUGCCGUUGAAACUGAAGAUCUUGAGUGUAAGUGAGGUAGGCGGAAUGUGUUGUGGAGCGAUGAAAUGCAUAGAUAUAGCACAGAACACCAAUUGCGAAGGCAGCUUACUGGGAUACAACUGACGCUGAGGCACGAAAGCGUGGGGAUCAAAC
rnacentral:rRNA from 1 species